UAUAACAAGGCAGGCUAUUUCAUAAAGAAAAGAAGAUUAUUUAUUUCACAGGUUUGGGUUCUGGAAGUUUGAACAGCAAGGUGCAGGCUCCAGUGAUGGCCCCUUUCAGCUGCACCACAUCAGGGAAGGAGUGCGAAGAACAUUACCUGCCCCCGAAAGGGAGCUGACUUUCCCACUGCAUUGGCCAGAUCGCUCGUCGCUGAGGUCAAACGCCCUGCACACGCGAUUGAAGGAUGAGAGGUUUACUGGGUUCGUGACUUCAGAGGUCUCACUCGUGACUGGCUGGCUCCAAGGCAGAAACGUUAGGGCAGGGGGCGAGGCUGGACAAAGCUGCCCACGGCGCGGUGACGGGGAAGCGCAGCGUAGAAGAACGUCAGGGAAGGGUCCGGCCUCGGAGGGACGUCCUCAGUGAUCAGCGUUCGCUCAGGCUUCGCCUCUGACAGCCGAUUCCGUGAAUCCCCUGCUGAGCGGUGUCCUCGUAAUCCCAUCACCACGUUGGGAAUCUAAAUCCAGUCAAAUUCACAACUGAGGUUAACUGUCACAGGGACAAACACAAAAUGAGCUACCGAGGGGUAAAAAUCGAUACUAUCUAUCAUUCACAGAAUCUAUUCUUUG
rnacentral:lncRNA from 1 species